CAGGAGAGCAGCUCCUGUCUGAUGACAUGAGUCUACCUGCUGACAGAGUUUCCUGAAUGUCUUUAUUAUAGGACCAUGGCAGAAGUUAAUGAAAUAACUGUUAAGAGCGUCACUUCAUGUUGUGCAGAAACAACAGAGCUGCUCCCUUCAAGACAAACAACAUCACCGUUUGCGUUUAAAGUUGUUUUUCUCUGUUCUGGGUUUGUCUUCAUUCGGGGGUUUGACCCCUCGGUGCUGCUUUUUGCUCGUCAGUGUGGCUGUUAUAUAGCAGCACUGGGUUUACGUAAGUCAGUUAGUCUCAUUAUUUAAUAGCCACGUACUAAUGGCGACACUGCUGUUUGUUUAAUGACUGAAUUUCUAACAGUGUUAGGUGCAUAGAAGCAGGACUGCAGUGCUUUUUAGUCACUUUAUUUAAUUCCUUGUGUAUAAAUGCCUUUCUAAGUCUG